AACGUAAGUGACUCCACCAGUGGUACCGAAUACGGUGGAGUCCAGAAGCUGGAGGCAGUUUCAUUAGCGGAGUUGAACGCCUACGUUCUAACCUCACUCCACAAGUACGUUUUCUGAUUUAACAUCUACUCAAGCGUUCUAAUAUUCAGGACAUUAAACCCAUAUAACUCACUUAAACACAAAAUAUUGAGUUCAUAUUCAGGACAAUGUCUCCUCCUGCACAUGCACUAUAUGUUUUAACGCAAGUGCUGUUGGAGUUGUGAGAUAACGUGUUGAGAUGAUGGUGGCAAAUGGAGAAGAAUCGCUGUCUUUGUUGCCUUCGACACAGCUAUCACUAAGCUCACCUAUGCCAGGGCCACAGAGGUUUCCAACCCUAUUGGUUAUGGUGAGCAAGACCCAGCAGAAUAUAACCUCCCUUACUUCCUCCAAGACAUUGUUCUGAAGAGCUACAUUUCAUCUCAAGCUUACAGAGUUAAUUUUUCUUUCCUCCAUGAGUUAUUUACUGUCGCACGAAUCUUUGACCCCAAUCAGAGAAACCCAGGGCCCUCCUUUGCACUGCAUGUAACUCAUAUAAAAUUCUCGCCACUUGGGUCUCAUUAAACAGCAAACUACUUACAAAUUUAACUGUUUGUCUAAAGGGUGAGGGCAACAAUCGUGGUGACAAUAUCUCUGGAGAAAAUUGUGCUUUUUGCAAGUACCCUGUCGGUGACUCCUUCUCAAAGGACACUCAUCUUCCUGAAGCUAAUGACCAGACCAUUGGACCUGCAAGUGUUGUGCAAGAAGCGUCAAACACCUACCAGGUGGAGUCCAAUAGUGAGAAUGUUGAUGAUCCACAGGACCACCACAAAGAAGGCCCGCAAAGCUUAGUUUUCACCAUGGAGCGGAAUAGAGGAACAAAUGUUUCUCCCAUGCAUAUCGUCAAGGCACUCACAUUAUGUUUUUCCAAAUAAUAGUUAUGACACUAAGUCUACCAUGAAGUUAAACAUUUUGCGUUUAUGAUAUAGAACAUAUUUCAAAUUUUCAGUAACUUUAAAUAAUGUCUACUCUAAGAUUUUAUUAAAAA